rnacentral:rRNA from 1 species
CCUACGGGAGGCAGCAGUGGGGAAUUUUGGACAAUGGGCGCAAGCCUGAUCCAGCAAUGCCGCGUGAGUGAAGAAGGCCUUCGGGUUGUAAAGCUCUUUUGUCAGGGAAGAAACGGUGGGGGCUAAUAUCUCCUACUAAUGACGGUACCUGAAGAAUAAGCACCGGCUAACUACGUGCCAGCAGCCGCGGUAAUACGUAGGGUGCAAGCGUUAAUCGGAAUUACUGGGCGUAAAGCGUGCGCAGGCGGUUUUGUAAGUCUGUCGUGAAAGCCCCGGGCUCAACCUGGGAAUUGCGAUGGAGACUGCAAGGCUUGAAUCUGGCAGAGGGGGGUAGAAUUCCACGUGUAGCAGUGAAAUGCGUAGAGAUGUGGAGGAACACCGAUGGCGAAGGCAGCCCCCUGGGUCAAGAUUGACGCUCAUGCACGAAAACGUGGGGAGCAAACAGGAUUAGAUACCCUGGUAGUCCACGCCCUAAACGAUGUCUACUAGUUGUCGGGUUUUAAUUAACUUGGUAACGCAGCUAACGCGUGAAGUAGACCGCUGGGGAGUACGGUCGCAAGAAUUAAAACGUCAAAUUGAAUUGAACCGGNNGNGAGNGCGAGACGACGACGAGGAGAG